AUGAACGCUGGCGGCGUGCCUAAUACAUGCAAGUCGAGCGAACAGACGAGGAGCUUGCUCCUCUGACGUUAGCGGCGGACGGGUGAGUAACACGUGGAUAACCUACCUAUAAGACUGGGAUAACUUCGGGAAACCGGAGCUAAUACCGGAUAAUAUAUUGAACCGCAUGGUUCAAUAGUGAAAGACGGUUUUGCUGUCACUUAUAGAUGGAUCCGCGCCGCAUUAGCUAGUUGGUAAGGUAACGGCUUACCAAGGCAACGAUGCGUAGCCGACCUGAGAGGGUGAUCGGCCACACUGGAACUGUGACACGGUCCAGACUCCUACGGGAGGCAGCAGUAGGGAAUCUUCCGCAAAGGGCGAAAGCCUGACGGAGCAACGCCGCGUGAGUGAUGAAGGUCUUCGGAUCGUAAAACUCUGUUAUUAGGGAAGAACAAAUGUGUAAGUAACUAUGCACGUCUUGACGGUACCUAAUCAGAAAGCCACGGCUAACUACGUG
rnacentral:rRNA from 1 species